rnacentral:rRNA from 1 species
ACGGGAGGCAGCAGUGGGGAAUAUUGCACGAUGGGGGAAACCCUGAUGCAGCGACGCCGCGUGAGUGAAGAAGUAUUUCGGUAUGUAAAGCUCUAUCAGCAGGAAAGAAAAUGACGGUACCUGACCAAGAAGCCCCGGCUAACUACGUGCCAGCAGCCGCGGUAAUACGUAGGGGGCAAGCGUUAUCCGGAUUUACUGGGUGUAAAGGGAGCGUAGACGGCUUUGCAAGUCUGAAGUGAAAGCCCGGGGCUCAACCCCGGAACUGCUUUGGAAACUGUAGAGCUGGAGUGCAGGAGAGGUAAGUGGAAUUCCUAGUGUAGCGGUGAAAUGCGUAGAUAUUAGGAGGAACACCAGUGGCGAAGGCGGCUUACUGGACUGUAACUGACGUUGAGGCUCGAAGGCGUGGGGAGCAAACAGGAUUAGAUACCCUGGUA